CUGAGAAAAAUCCCUCGUUUGUUGUAUGAACCAUCUGCAGUCAAGUAUGCUAUUCCUUGCAGCUGAGGGGCAUUCCUAAAUGCCACAUUGGUUAAGGAGGUCUCCUUCUGUCACUAGUUUACUGUUUUGCCUGAAGUAGGCACUGGGAUUUGAAGUUCAAAGCCGAACGCAAGCCCUUGAACCAGAGCAGGUGGGUCAUCUUGAAAAUGUUUCCUCCAAUGAGAAGCAGGAAGCUUGCAAGUGCUCCAGCAGUAGGGAUCAGGAGGGGUGGCUACUGCCCCCGGGUGCCCUCGGAGCCUUCAGCCCUCGCUCCCGCCCACAGCACAGUGAGGGGCUGGGCCAAGCUGCUGUGCUUCACGCGGCAGGAGUAGGAGUCGGAGCCGGAGCGGGAGGCUCUGUCCUGCGGGGAAACUGACAUCACCACCCAGGACUGGUUAUUAGUGGCUGUCCCAGGUGAUGGGACGAUUGGGGAGAUCAAGACCGACGAUGUUCUAGCUUUCAUGGAAUUUGCAUAGGUAAGUUUUGUGGAAUCUUUUGAAGGUUCCAAUUUCACAGAUUCAGACCAGAUAAUUAAGAACAUGUUCAUUGUCAAACAGCUAGUGACUGGCCGGGCCACCAUGUGAACCCAGGUCUGACGGACCCCAGGGUUAGCUCACUCUUCCCAACAUCCCUGGGCAAGGGAGCCUGAUGCCUUCUAAAGUAGGAUCAGCCUCAGACAGGUUGGGCUGUGCAGCUGAGAGGUGACGCAUGCCGGGAUGAGAGCUGACUCUGACAUCACUUCCUGUCAGAGCUGAGGCCUGGGAGUGAGGAUGGGAUGGGAUGGGAUGGGGCAGGAGGAAAGCGGAUGCGCUGUGGGGUUGGGGGGAUGCAGAGUGUCUGCGUAUUUCUACCCUGCUCUCCGUUCCUCCUUCGGGACGGGGAUUACUUCCAUCCUGCUGACCCCUUUCCACUCACCCCUGCAGGGCUGCCUCUUGAGCUAAGACCCUCCACCCCAGCAGUCCACGGUCCACUGACCUUCUGUAUCCUUGUAAUAGUCCAUGAUGUCCUUCAGGGUCACCAUGAAGAUGUCCUCCCUGGCCUUCUGAAGUUCACUCUCGUUCUCCCAGUCCUCUAUUCCUUCCAUCUGGCUCCAGGGGUACGAGGGUAUGGCCUUCCUAUCUUCACUGUCAUAGUGAAAGAAAUCCUGGUCAUUGAGGUAGGCCGUGGCCUGGAAGCUGAGGAAGCCGUCCCUGGGCUUGGACAGCCCAGUGUAGAAGAAGCUCAGAGAGUAAGGCCCUGAAAAAGAGGAGAAGACUUUGAGGUGUGGGGUCCAUGCAAGGGAUGCCCAAUGUGGGGCAGCAGAGGGCCAGAAAGGGGGCUGUGGCCACUGGGUCUCGUCCUCCCCAGCCCUCAGCCUCACCACUCUGGAGGCUCACCCAAGUGCAAAGGGCCCUACCUCUAUCCUGGGUAUGGUACUUCAGACACCAUUGUGUUUUCACUUUAUUGUUUCUUCUUGACACAUAAGAAGGUAAUAUUUCUCAGCCUCCUUGUAUGUAUUUUGGGAUCAUGCGACUGCAUUCUGGGGAUGUGAGUGGGAGUGAUGUGCAUUCUGGGGAUGUGAGUGGGAGUGAUGUCUUUCUUCUGGUCUGAGGCCCUAUUAACUGGUUUGUUCUGUCUUUCUUUUAUUUAUGUGAUGACUGUGGAGACCUCAGGAUGAAACCAGGAGUCCGAAGGUGCAAAUAUCCCAGAUUCCUGAGUCACGCCAGGGAAGACAGGAACGUUGCCUUAUCUGUAUUCACUUUACACAAGCAAGAAAUAAACCACUUGUUGGGUUAAGCCACUAAAAACUUUGUUACUGGAGCACAACUUAAUCUAAGACAUAGAAUUCGAAUGUGUAGGAAGAAUUUACCAGAAAACUCAGGAGAUGACCUAGAAUGGAUUGGCACAGGGUAAGGCCAGGAUCUGGAUCUCAGAAUUCCCAGGGUUGUACCUUGCGUUUUGGUGUGAGGCAGGGGCUUGGAGAGGGGGGACAUUUCCAAUUAAUUCAGGAUAUAACUCACAUUGGGGUUAAUAAUGUUGGAGGUUCUAUGGAUGAUUCCUAGUUCAAGUACUGAAAUUAUUCUUGCUAAUUAGUUUCUCAGUGUGAUUAACUUUAGACCUCGUGUAAAGCAGAUUACCCUUCACAGUGGGUGGGCCUCAUCCAAUCAGUUGAAGGCCACAAGAAAGAAGCCCAGUCCCCCAAAGAAGAAGGAAUUCUGCCUCCACACUGCCUUUGGACUCAAGAUGGCAACACUGACUCUUCUCCGGGUCUCCGACCUGCAGAUUUCAAUUGUGCCAUCCAGUUCCUUAAAAUCAAUCUCUUUUUCUGUAUUUACAUCUUGUCUGUUCUGUUUCUCUGGAGAGCCCUGACUAAUACAGAUUUUGGU